GAUGAACGCUAGCGGCAGGCUUAACACAUGCAAGUCGAGGGGUAUAGUAGCAAUACUAGAGACCGGCGCACGGGUGCGUAACGCGUAUGCAACCUACCUUUUACAGAGGGAUAGCCCCAGAGAAAUUUGGAUUAAUACCUCAUAGUGUUAUUAGAUGGCAUCAUUUGAUAACUAAAGUUCCAACGGUAAAGAUGGGCAUGCGUCCUAUUAGCUAGAUGGUAAGGUAACGGCUUACCAUGGCUACGAUAGGUAGGGGUCCUGAGAGGGAGAUCCCCCACACUGGUACUGAGACACGGACCAGACUCCUACGGGAGGCAGCAGUGAGGAAUAUUGGACAAUGGCGCAAGCCUGAUCCAGCCAUGCCGCGUGCAGGAAGAAGCAUCUAUGGUGU
rnacentral:rRNA from 1 species